rnacentral:antisense_RNA from 2 species
GCGGGAGGGGGCUUGCUCCCGAUGGCAGUGUGUCAGUCAAUUCAUUAGCUGACUGAUACACCGCUAUCGGGGGCAAGCCCCCUCCCAC